CGUAACAAGGUUUCCGUAGGUGAACCUGCGGAAGGAUCAUUG
rfam:Hordeum vulgare subsp. vulgare, WGS project CAJW01000000 data, contig: morex_contig_1505679